rnacentral:tRNA from 5 species
GGGGAGGUGCCAGAGUGGUCGAAUGGGGCCGCCUGCUAAGCGGUUACCGGGGCGAAAUCCUCGGUCGCAGGUUCGAAUCCUGUCCUCCCCGCCA